rnacentral:lncRNA from 12 species
GUUUCCACCAGCAUCACUUCGUCAUCAUUUUCAUCAGCCCUGUGAAGUCCUGUAUUUUUGCAGUCAUGUUAAUGGCAUCCAAGGUAAAAACCAAUGACAGCAUAGAGGGCAUGUAUUAGGUGGGAAGAAAUGUUUAAAUGAGGGCUGGUAUGAACAUUGUCAGUUUAUUGGUGAAUAUCAUAAUGUCUAUAUUCCUGUAACCUUGGAUUGUUUGGGAAUUAGAUCCUAAAUAUUCAGAAGAUAGGAACCUCUAUGUUUAUAUUAGUAUUUUCUUUAUUUUCCCAACAUUUGUUAGAGAGAGAGAGAGAGAGAGAGAGAGAGAGGAGAGGGGUAGAAGGAGGAGAGAGAAUCUCAAGCAGAUUCCACACUGAGUCCAGAGCCCAACAUGGGGCUCAAUCUCAUGACCCAAAGACCAUGACCUGAGCCAAGAUCAAGAGUUGGAUGCUUAAUCAAGUCAGCCACCCAGACACCUCUGUAUUGCUAUAUUCAAUGACUAGGCUUUUAUGAACUAAUUUGAAGUCUUUUACCUAUCUUAAUUACUUGAAUAUAUGACUUGAGAUAAUUAUAGUUGUAUAGUAGAAAUUUUCCAAACACAAUGGUGAUAAGCAGUGCUGCGAAGGUUAAUAGCAAAGCUCUGACAAGCUUAGCCUGUGCAGCACUGGCACAGCCUUAUGAAAACAAUUAUGCAAAAAUAAUAAUCCUGUUGCAACUUCAAAUCCAGGUGCAUAAAAAUAUUAAUUGAUUUUUUUUCUUUCAGUAGUGCUAAGUUGCCAGUGGAAACUGCCCAUGGGCCACAUGAGAGACCACGGAUCCUGUAAUGCUGGGAGGCAUAAAGCUGGCACAGAAGUGCUGCAGAGAGGCUGUCACCAGUUAGAGGGAAGGAGCCAGAGAAGCAAGAGGUGUGGCAACAGCCAAGGGUCUUCAAAGGUAGAUGGACUGUGCACUCCCUUCCUGAAUGGGAGACCAGCACAGAGACCUUGGGGGCACGCCCUGCCCAGCCCUGCCCAGCCUCGCCCAGGCUCCAGCCGGAGGCUCCGCCCCAGGCCAUGGCCUUCCACUUGCUCACGUGACCAUGCCACAGGCAUGCAGAGAGGCAGGCUGAGCUCUGCCAGGCCAGCAGGGUCCUUGCCAGGCCUGGUGGACUUCGAGGACAAGGAGCAGGUGAAGGCCUUUCUGGAGAACGUCGUGGAGUGCAAGUACCAGUGCUACUGUGAGAAGGACCCGGAUGGACAGAAAGUUAUCUAA